ACUCCUACGGGAGGCAGCAGUGGGGAAUAUUGCACAAUGGGCGCAAGCCUGAUGCAGCCAUGCCGCGUGUGUGAAGAAGGCCCUUCGGGUUGUAAAGCACUUUCAGUUGUGAGGAAGGUGGUGUCGUUAAUAGCGGCAUCAUUUGACGUUAGCAACAGAAGAAGCACCGGCUAACUCCGUGCCAGCAGCCGCGGUAAUACGGAGGGUGCGAGCGUUAAUCGGAAUUACUGGGCGUAAAGCGCAUGCAGGUGGUUUGUUAAGUCAGAUGUGAAAGCCCGGGGCUCAACCUCGGAACUGCAUUUGAAACUGGCAGACUAGAGUACUGUAGAGGGGGGUAGAAUUUCAGGUGUAGCGGUGAAAUGCGUAGAGAUCUGAAGGAAUACCGGUGGCGAAAGGCGGCCCCCUGGACAGAUACUGACGCUCAGAUGCGAAAGCGUGGGGAGCAAACAGGAUUAGAUACCCUGGU
rnacentral:rRNA from 1 species